UUAAAUUGAAGAGUUUGAUCAUGGCUCAGAUUGAACGCUGGCGGCAGGCCUAACACAUGCAAGUCGAACGGUAACAGGAAGCAGCUUGCUGCUUUCGCUGACGAGUGGCGGACGGGUGAGUAAUGUCUGGGAAACUGCCUGAUGGAGGGGGAUAACUACUGGAAACGGUAGCUAAUACCGCAUAACGUCGCAAGACCAAAGAGGGGGACCUUCGGGCCUCUUGCCAUCGGAUGUGCCCAGAUGGGAUUAGCUAGUAGGUGGGGUAACGGCUCACCUAGGCGACGAUCCCUAGCUGGUCUGAGAGGAUGACCAGCCACACUGGAACUGAGACACGGUCCAGACUCCUACGGGAGGCAGCAGUGGGGAAUAUUGCACAAUGGGCGCAAGCCUGAUGCAGCCAUGCCGCGUGUAUGAAGAAGGCCUUCGGGUUGUAAAGUACUUUCAGCGGGGAGGAAGGGAGUAAAGUUAAUACCUUUGCUCAUUGACGUUACCCGCAGAAGAAGCACCGGCUAACUCCGUGCCAGCAGCCGCGGUAAUACGGAGGGUGCAAGCGUUAAUCGGAAUUACUGGGCGUAAAGCGCACGCAGGCGGUUUGUUAAGUCAGAUGUGAAAUCCCCGGGCUCAACCUGGGAACUGCAUCUGAUACUGGCAAGCUUGAGUCUCGUAGAGGGGGGUAGAAUUCCAGGUGUAGCGGUGAAAUGCGUAGAGAUCUGGAGGAAUACCGGUGGCGAAGGCGGCCCCCUGGACGAAGACUGACGCUCAGGUGCGAAAGCGUGGGGAGCAAACAGGAUUAGAUACCCUGGUAGUCCACGCCGUAAACGAUGUCGACUUGGAGGUUGUGCCCUUGAGGCGUGGCUUCCGGAGCUAACGCGUUAAGUCGACCGCCUGGGGAGUACGGCCGCAAGGUUAAAACUCAAAUGAAUUGACGGGGGCCCGCACAAGCGGUGGAGCAUGUGGUUUAAUUCGAUGCAACGCGAAGAACCUUACCUGGUCUUGACAUCCACGGAAGUUUUCAGAGAUGAGAAUGUGCCUUCGGGAACCGUGAGACAGGUGCUGCAUGGCUGUCGUCAGCUCGUGUUGUGAAAUGUUGGGUUAAGUCCCGCAACGAGCGCAACCCUUAUCCUUUGUUGCCAGCGGUCCGGCCGGGAACUCAAAGGAGACUGCCAGUGAUAAACUGGAGGAAGGUGGGGAUGACGUCAAGUCAUCAUGGCCCUUACGACCAGGGCUACACACGUGCUACAAUGGCGCAUACAAAGAGAAGCGACCUCGCGAGAGCAAGCGGACCUCAUAAAGUGCGUCGUAGUCCGGAUUGGAGUCUGCAACUCGACUCCAUGAAGUCGGAAUCGCUAGUAAUCGUGGAUCAGAAUGCCACGGUGAAUACGUUCCCGGGCCUUGUACACACCGCCCGUCACACCAUGGGAGUGGGUUGCAAAAGAAGUAGGUAGCUUAACCUUCGGGAGGGCGCUUACCACUUUGUGAUUCAUGACUGGGGUGAAGUCGUAACAAGGUAACCGUAGGGGAACCUGCGGUUGGAUCACCUCCUUACCUUAAAGAAGC
rnacentral:rRNA from 1 species